GUUAGGGUGGCAGAGACAGGUUAAUGCAAAAGACCUAAACCCUUUAAACGGAAGUUCAAAUCUUUCCCCUAACU
rnacentral:tRNA from 1 species